rnacentral:tRNA from 1 species
GUUGUGGCUCAGUGGUAGAGUGCUUUUCUAGCAUGCAUGAGACCCUAGGUUGGAUCCCUGGCACACA